rnacentral:rRNA from 1 species
GACGGAGGAUGCAAGCGUUAUCCGGAAUGAUUGGGCGUAAAGCGUCCGCAGGUGGCACUUCAAGUCUGUCGUCAAAGACUGGGGCUUAACCCUGGAAAGGCGGUGGAAACUGAAGCGCUAGAGUGCGGUAGGGGUAGAGGGAAUUCCCGGUGUAGCGGUGAAAUGCGUAGAGAUGGGGGAGAACACUCGUGGCGAAGGCGGCCAGCUAGACCAGCUCUGACACUGAGGCGCGACAGCGUGGGGAGCAAACAGG